ensembl:snoRNA
UGGUCCAUCCUAAUCCCUGCUGGCCAGCCUGUGGCCUGCCAGGCUUCGCUUGUGGACCAGAGCACCCUAGAAGCCUCCCUUGGUUUGAGCCAGGCCUCUCUGUGCUCAGUGUUGGACACUUCUGGACACAU